rnacentral:rRNA from 1 species
UACUCUGUAGAGUCUGCAUAUCAAUAAGCGGAGGAAAAGAAACUAACAUAGGAUUCCCUCAGUAACGGCGAGUGAAGCGGGAAGAGCUCAAAUUUGAAAUCUUCAAGGUUCUACCUUGACGAAUUGUAGUUUAAAGAAGUGUUUUCUGUUGGAGUUUUGGUAAAAGUUCUUUGGAAUAGGACAUCAUAGAGGGUGAGAAUCCCGUAUUUGACCAUUACUUUCCAGCGUUGUGAUACACUUUCAAAGAGUCGGAUUGUUUGGGAAUGCAGUCCAAAAUGGGUGGUAAAUUUCAUCUAAAGCUAAAUAUUGGCGAGAGACCGAUAGCGAACAAGUACCGUGAGGGAAAGAUGAAAAGAACUUUGAAAAGAGAGUUAAACAGUACGUGAAAUUGUCGAAAGGGAAGCGUUUGACACCAGUGUUGUUUUCUCGAAAAUCAAUUACAAAUGGCUUGAUUUUGUGUUGUAUUGACCUUAUCAAGCUUUCUUCACUUUUUUCAUGUCUUUCUUAAUGCACUUUUGGUUAACAAGUCAACAUCAAUUUCUUUUGUUGUAAAAGGAGUCAUUCGGAAGGUGGCUUUCUUUUCGGAGAAAGUGUUUAUAGCCCUAUGACUUCGACAAUCGGAGAGAUUGAGGUCUGCAGCGUAGAUCCUUCUGGAUUAGAUACACUUGUGCUAAGUUUAACCGUUUCAUAGGACAACUUGUUGACUAUAUUUAGAUCAUGUCGCUUACUCGCUUGUGCUAUUUUACCUACGCUUAGGAUGUUGAAGAUGUAGCACAUCAU